rnacentral:rRNA from 1 species
UUAUUAAUUCGCGCCCUCUCAGCUUGUUGGUGAGGUAAUGGCUCACCAAGGCGAUGACGGGUAGCGGACCUGAGAGGUAGUCCGCCCCCACUGGGAGUGAGACUCGCCCCAGAUUCAUACGGGAGGCAGCAGCGGGGAAUAUUUGACAAGGGUCGAAAGCGGGAUCCAGCAACGCCGUGGGAGUGAGGACGCCUUUCGGGUUGUAAACAUUUCUCAGUAGGGACGAAAAGAAAGUUCUGGUACCUACAGAAGAAGGACCGCCCAACUCCGUGCCAGCAGCCGGGGUAAUAUGUAGGGUCCGAAGCUGGUCCGGAAAUAUGGGGAGUAAAUGGUUAGUAGCCGUAAUUUCGGGUCGGGAGUGAAAACUCAGGGUUCACCCGGGAGCGUGCAUGUGAUGCGGGCGGGCUAGAGGUAUGCAGGGGAGAACGGAAUUCCUGGUGUAGCGGUGGAAUGCGCAGAUAUCAGGAGGAACACCGGUGGCGAAGGCGGUUCUCUGGGCAUUUCCUGACGCUGAGGAGGGAAAGCAUGGGGAGCGAACAGGGUUAGAUACCCUGGUAGUUCAUCCCGUAAACGUUGGGCGUUAGGUGUGGGGUCGUUCCACGGAUUCCGCGCCGCAGAUACAGCAUUAAGCCCCCCACCUGGGGAGUCCGGA